UACGAAGGGGGCUAGCGUUGCUCGGAAUCACUGGGCGUAAAGCGCACGUAGGCGGAUUGUUAAGUCGGGGGUGAAAUCCUGGAGCUCAACUCCAGAACUGCCUUCGAUACUGGCGAUCUCGAGUCCGGGAGAGGUGAGUGGAACUCCGAGUGUAGAGGUGAAAUUCGUAGAUAUUCGGAAGAACACCAGUGGCGAAGGCGGCUCACUGGCCCGGUACUGACGCUGAGGUGCGAAAGCGUGGGUAGCAAACAGG
rnacentral:rRNA from 1 species